rnacentral:rRNA from 1 species
AGGUGGGAUUACCCGCUGAACUUAAGCAUAUCAAUAAGCGGAGGAAAAGAAACUAACAAGGAUUCCCCUAGUAACGGCGAGUGAAGAGGGAAAAGCCCAAAUUUGUAAUCUGGCUCUUUCAGAGUCCGAGUUGUAAUUUUAAGAACUGUUUUCCGUGCUGGACCAUGUACAAGUCUGUUGAAAAACAGCAUCAUUGAGGGUGAAAAUCCCGUACAUGAUAUGGACUACCAGUGCAAUGUGAUACAGUCUCUAAGAGUCGAGUUGUUUGGGAAUGCAGCUCAAAGUGGGUGGUAAAUUCCAUCUAAGGCUAAAUAUAGGUGAGAGACCGAUAGCAAACAAGUACCGUGAGGGAAAGAUGAAAAGAACUUUGGAAAGAGAGUUAACAGUACGUGAAAUUGUUAAAAGGGAAACAUUUGAAGUUAGACUUGUUAUUGUUGGUUCAACUUCUUUAUUGAGGUGUAUUCCAAUGGUUAACAGACCAGCAUCAAUUUUUGGGUGUUGGAUAAGGGUUUAGGAAAUGUAGCAACCUUGGUUGUGUUAUAGUCCUUUACUUUGAUACAAUGCUUAGGAUUGAGGAACGCAGUAAGCUUUGUAGCAGAU